CCCCCAGGACUCCGGAGCCCAGAGCGCGUGGCUCCGACGGGGCGCCCGGGGCGCAGGGACAGGCGGACGGGGACGGUAGGGCGGCGGCGAGCGGCGGGGCCUCGGCUCCCCGCACAUACCCCCGCGCCACGCCCCGCACCGCCUCCCCUCCCCCUCCCGCCUCACACCCGCCCCCCCCGCACCGCCUCACACCUCACACCUCGCCCCCCGCCCCGCACCGCCUCCCCUCCCCGUCCCGCCUCACACCCCGCCCCCCCGCACCGCCUCCCCUCCCCCUCCCGCCUCACACCCCGCCCCCCCCGCACCGCCUCUCCCCUCCCCCGCCCGCCUCACACCCCGCCCCUCCGCACCGCCUCCCCUCCCCCUCCCGCCUCACACCCCGCCCCCCCGCACCGCCUCUCCCCUCCCCCUCCCGCCUCACACCCCGCCCCCCCGCACCGCCUCUCCCCUCCCUCUCCCGCCUCAUACCCCGCCCCCCCGCACCGCCUCUCCCCUCCCCCUCCCGCCUCACACCUCGCCCCCCGCACCGCCUCCCCUCCCCCUCCCGCUUCACACCCCGCCCCCCCGCACCGCCUCUCCCCUCCCUCUCCCGCCUCAUACCCCGCCCCCCCCGCACCGCCUCACCCCUCCCCCUCCCGCCUCACACCCCGCCCCCUCGCACCGCCUCUCCCCUCCCCCUCCCGCCUCACACCUCGCCCCCCGCACCGCUUCCCCUCCCCCUCCCGCCUCACACCCCGCCCCCCCGCACCGCCUCACACCUCACACCUCGCCCCCCCCGCACCGCCUCACCCCUCCCCCUCCCGCCUCACACCCCGCCCCCCCGCACCGCCUCCCCAUCCCGCCUCACGCCCCGCCCCCCUGCACUGCCCUCCGACCCCCGCAGCGCCUCCCCUCCCCCUCCUGCCUCAUACUCCAGUCCCCGCACGGCCGCCCCCUCCCUCCUCACACCCCGCCCCGCCCCCCCGCACCGCCUCCCCUCCCCCGUCCCGCCUCACGCCCCGCCCUCUGCACCGCCUCCCGACCCCCGUAGCGCCUCCCCCUCCCCCUCCUGCCUCAUACUCCGAUCCCCGCACGGCCGCCCCCCCCACAUCCCGCCGCCCCGCACCGUCUCCCCCCUCCCCCAUCCCGCCUCACACCCCGCCCCCCUGCACCGCCUCCCGACCCCCGCAGCGCCUCCCUCUCCCCGCCUCACAUUCCCCCCACCCCUCACAGCUCGGCCCUCGCUGGUCCCCGCGGCCGGUGACCCCUGCCCCUCCCCCGCCCGCUCCCCCUGUUGAGAACCAAAGCGUGAGCAGCCCCGCUGCAGCCGCCCCCAGCCCCUCGGGCGGGCUGCGGGGUCAGGGCCCGGCACCCCGACGGCAGGGCCCACAGGCGAGGACAGCCCGGAGGACGCCGGGGCCCCAGGUAGCCUGCCGCCAGCCUGUCGAGGAGCCCGCGGAGCGGGGGAGGACACGGCAGCAGGUUGCGGUCCACGCUCCUGGCACACGCGCUGUCACCACCGCCUGGCCCCUGGCGCUCCGCCCUGGUUUCUCCACCCACAGCCUGACCCACACCUGCUGGCCCACAGCCUCCUGCCCCAGGGUCUCCUGCCCCACGGCCUCCUGCCCCACACCUCCUGGCCGUGGCCUAUUGCCUUGGAUCAAUGCCUCAACUGCUGGGCCCGGGGACGGAGGCUGA
rnacentral:lncRNA from 1 species